rnacentral:lncRNA from 1 species
CCGUGAUAAUGACAUUAGUAGAUUUUAUGAUAACUCAAUCUUGCUGAAUGAAAGAUAGGUAUGCAACAGGUUAUUCCACUCCCUGCAGAGAUUUUUGUCAUCUCUCUCUGAUCACCCCAUUCCCCCAUGUGUUAUUGCUUUGAUAAUGACUGCUAUAUCAUGUCAGGAAAACUGAGACAGGCUAUGUGAUGAGCAGUGUAAGAUCUAAGAGUUAUUGACAACCCAUAGGAUGAAGAGGGGAAGGAGUGGGUGGUUUUAGAAAGAGACAAAACAGAAAGCAAAGGGAUGAUCAACAGGGUUGUCGAGAGAGAGAGAGAGAGAGAGACUAAGGAAGUGUGAGAAAGGCUGAGAGACAGAGAAAGGGUUUGAUAAGGAGACUGGAAAUGACUCUUGUUUUGUUGCCUUCUGCGUCAAUAGACUCAGUCCUCUCCCGCUGCUGGAUAUGAGUAGCAACAGCCCCAGAAAGAUGUACGUGUCCACUUUCAGGAUUGAUCUCCAGCGACCCAGAAAUGCUGGGGAGAAGGUGAAGGAGAAUGGGACAGUUGACAGGAUGUCCAUCUCUGAGAGGAUGGCUGAGAUUCCUAACGCAGAAUGUAACCUUGGGAUCACAAGAGGUAAACCUUCUGCUCAACCUCCUUGCAGCGGAAGCAAAGGAACUUCACCACCCAACAGCCACGUUAAGGAACAAACAACUGGGCCUGUUGAACAACCCAGGACUCGUGCAAACAGAACAGGUAGCAGGAUGUUUUACUCAUAGCGGAAGAUGUUUACUCGUAUGUCGGCUCCUCUGUCUAAAAUGAGAUCUAACGGUCUAUCCGCAUCAAUUUAUAACCUUAAAUGACAAUAUUCAAAUAUAUGAAAACUAAAGCAAAGAUGGGACAGCACACACAAGCUUACCAAAAUAGUUAUAUUUCUUGUAACAUGAUGGGCGUGUUUCAGCAGGAUGCUUUCAUUGUGCCACCGUACUGCAUUAUUGAAGAAUAUAGAAUAUAACGAUAAAAUAUGCGGAUGAAGGUAUCCCUCCAAAACGCUUCAGUCAUGCUAGAAGAAAUAAAAUUAUUUUGGUAAGUCUCUCCCA